rnacentral:rRNA from 1 species
UUGUAGGCUGAAACUCGCCUACAUGAAGCUGGAGUUGCUAGUAAUCGCGAAUCAGCAUGUCGCGGUGAAUACGUUCCCGGGCCUUGUACACACCGCCCGACACACCAUGAGAGUUGGCAAUACCCAACGUACGUGAUCUAACCCGCAAGGGAGGAAGCGUCCUAAGGUAGGGUCAGCGAUUGGGGUGAAGUCGUAACAAGGUAAC